UUGCAGAAUUCAGUGAAUCAUCGAAUCUUUGAACGCACAUUGCGCCCCUUGGUAUCCCGAGGGGCAUGCCUGUUCGAGCGUCAUU
rnacentral:rRNA from 1 species